rnacentral:rRNA from 1 species
UUGGCCCAACUGAUUGAACGUGCUUGCACGGACUUGACGUUGGUUACCAGCGAGUGGCGGACGGGUGAGUAACACGUAGGUAACCUGCCCCAAAGCGGGGGAUAACAUUUGGAAACAGAUGCUAAUACCGCAUAAUAAUUUGAAUCGCAUGAUUCAAAUUUAAAAGAUGGCUUCGGCUAUCACUUUGGGAUGGACCUGCGGCGCAUUAGCUUGUUGGUAGGGUAACGGCCUACCAAGGCUGUGAUGCGUAGCCGAGUUGAGAGACUGAUCGGCCACAAUGGAACUGAGACACGGUCCAUACUCCUACGGGAGGCAGCAGUAGGGAAUCUUCCACAAUGGGCGCAAGCCUGAUGGAGCAACACCGCGUGAGUGAAGAAGGGUUUCGGCUCGUAAAGCUCUGUUGUUAGAGAAGAACGUGCGUGAGAGCAACUGUUCACGCAGUGACGGUAUCUAACCAGAAAGUCACGGCUAACUACGUGCCAGCAGCCGCGGUAAUACGUAGGUGGCAAGCGUUAUCCGGAUUUAUUGGGCGUAAAGCGAGCGCAGGCGGUUUGAUAAGUCUGAUGUGAAAGCCUUUGGCUUAACCAAAGAAGUGCAUCGGAAACUGUCAGACUUGAGUGCAGAAGAGGACAGUGGAACUCCAUGUGUAGCGGUGGAAUGCGUAGAUAUAUGGAAGAACACCAGUGGCGAA